rnacentral:misc_RNA from 1 species
UCACCCCUCAAGCCCGGCUUGUUGUUGGAUGCGGCGGUGGCCUCUUCUGCGCCCCGCCCGUCUCAAAGAUAAUGACGGCGUCUGUGAGGACUCCUGUACACUGAGCUUUCGGGCACGUACUAGGCAGCACUCCAGGCCCGGUCUUCGUCGAAUCCCUUCUCGGGUGCCGACAAACUUUUACCAA